rnacentral:rRNA from 1 species
AUUGAACGCUGGCGGCAUGCCUAACACAUGCAAGUCGAACGGAAACGAUGGAGAGCCUGCUCUUCAGGCGUCGAGUGGCGGACGGGUGAGUAAUGCUUAGGAAUCUGCCCAUGUAGUGGGGGACAACGUGUGGAAACGCACGCUAAUACCGCAUACGCCCUACGGGGGAAAGCAGGGGAUCUUCGGACCUUGCGCUAUUGGAUGAGCCUAAGUCGGAUUAGCUUGUUGGUAGGGUAACGGCCUACCAAGGCGACGAUCCCUAGCUGGUUUGAGAGGAUGAUCAGCCACACUGGAACUGAGACACGGUCCAGACUCCUACGGGAGGCAGCAGUGGGGAAUAUUGCACAAUGGACGAAAGCCUGAUGCAGCAAUGCCGCGUGUGUGAAGAAGGCCUGCGGGUUGUAAAGCACUUUCAGUAGAGAAGAAAAGUUUAGGGUUAAUACCCCUGAAUCUUGACGUUACCUACAGAAGAAGCUCCGGCUAACUCCGUGCCAGCAGCCGCGGUAAUACGGAGGGAGCGAGCGUUAAUCGGAAUUACUGGGCGUAAAGCGCGCUUAGGCGGCUUUGUAAGUCGGAUGUGAAAGCCCUGGGCUCAACCUGGGAAUUGCAUUCGAUACUGAAGAGCUAGAGUAUGGUAGAGGGAAGUGGAAUUCCGGGUGUAGCGGUGAAAUGCGUAGAUAUCCGGAGGAACACCAGGGGCGAAGGCGACUUCCUGGGCCAAUACUGACGCUGAGGUACGAAAGCGUGGGUAGCAAACAGGAUUAGAUACCCUGGUAGUCCACGCCGUAAACGAUGUCAACUAGCCGUUGGGUCUAUUUAUAGAUUUAGUGGUGCAGCUAACGCGAUAAGUUCUCCGCCUGGGGAGUACGGCCGCAAGGUUAAAACUCAAAUGAAUUGACGGGGGCCCGCACAAGCGGUGGAGCAUGUGGUUUAAUUCGAUGCAACGCGAAGAACCUUACCUACCCUUGACAUCCUCAGAACUUGUUAGAGAUAACUUGGUGCCUUCGGGAACUGAGUGACAGGUGCUGCAUGGCUGUCGUCAGCUCGUGUCGUGAGAUGUUGGGUUAAGUCCCGUAACGAGCGCAACCCUUGUCCUUAGUUGCCAGCAAGUAAUGUUGGGCACUCUAAGGAGACUGCCGUCGAUAAACCGGAGGAAGGUGGGGACGACGUCAAGUCAUCAUGGCCCUUAUGGGUAGGGCUACACACGUGCUACAAUGGCUGGUACAGAGGGUCGCUAACUUGCGAGAGUACGCUAAUCCCUUAAAGCCGGCCUCAGUUCGGAUUGCAGUCUGCAACUCGACUGCAUGAAGGCGGAAUCGCUAGUAAUCGUGGAUCAGAAUUCCGCGGUGAAUUCGUUCCCGGGCCUUGUACACUCCGCCCGUCACACCAUGGGAGUGGGUUGCAAAAGAAGUGGGUAGGCUAACCUUCGGGAGGCCGCUCACCACUUUGUGGUUCAUGACUGGGGUGA